CUCGUAGGCGGUUCAGUAAGUCGGCUGUGAAAUUCCGAGGCUCAACCUCGGAACUGCAGUCGAUACUAUUGUGACUAGAGUCCGGUAGAGGAGAAUGGAAUUCCCGGUGUAGCGGUGAAAUGCGCAGAUAUCGGGAGGAACACCAGUAGCGAAGGCGGUUCUCUGGGCCGGUACUGACGCUGAGGAACGAAAGCGUGGGGAGCAAACA
rnacentral:rRNA from 1 species